GCUGGAGAAUGUGGAGUACGAAAAGCUUGACGAACUAUUUCAAAAUUACUCGGCUAAACACCUGCCAGUGACAAUGAUUAUUUAUCUCAAAGCUUCGGUUGAAACUUUGCAACAACGAAUUCUUUGCCGCGGACGAGAAGAAGAAAGUUGCAUCACAAAGGCGUAUCUUACAAAGCUUAAUGAACUUUACGAUACAUGGCUCAGUGGAAAGUGCUUUCCGGUUCCCAGUAUUAUUAUGACUAUGAAUGCCGAAAUUCCACAAGCACAAUUAUAUGCUGAUAUCAAGGAGCAGAUUUUCCGCCUCAUUUAAUAAGUACGUACAUUAUCUCUAUCC